CCUACGGGAGGCAGCAGUGGGGAAUAUUGGGCAAUGGGCGCAAGCCUGACCCAGCAACGCCGCGUGAAGGAAGAAGGCUUUCGGGUUGUAAAAUUCUUUUCUCAGGGACGAAGCAAGUGACGGUACCUGAGGAAUAAGCCACGGCUAACUACGUGCCAGCAGCCGCGGUAAUACGUAGGUGGCAAGCGUUAUCCGGAUUUACUGGGUGUAAAGGGCGUGUAGGCGGGAAAGCAAGUCUGAUGUUAAAACCAUGGGCUCAACCUGUGGCCUGCAUUUGAAACUGUUUUUCUUGAGUACUGGGGAGGCAGACGGAAUUCCUAGUGUAGCGGUGAAAUGCGUAGAUAUGAGGAGGAACACCAGUGGCGAAGGCGGUCUGCUGGACAGCAACUGACGCUGAGGCGCGAAAGCGUGGGGAGCAAACAGGAUUAGAUACCCCGGUAGUC
rnacentral:rRNA from 1 species